AACGAACGCUGGCGGCAGGCUUAACACAUGCAAGUCGAUCGCUCUUUUCGGAGAGAGAGGCGCACGGGUGAGUAACACGUGGGAAUAUGCCUUGGAGUACGGAAUAACUGAGGGAAACUUCAGCUAAUACCGUAUACGCCCUACGGGGGAAAGAUUUAUCGCUCCAAGAUUAGCCCGCGUCCGAUUAGCUAGUUGGUAGGGUAAUGGCCUACCAAGGCGACGAUCGGUAGCUGGUCUGAGAGGAUGAUCAGCCACACUGGGACUGAGACACGGCCCAGACUCCUACGGGAGGCAGCAGUGGGGAAUAUUGGACAAUGGGGGCAACCCUGAUCCAGCCAUGCCGCGUGAGUGAUGAAGGCCUUCGGGUUGUAAAGCUCUUUCAGACGUGACGAUGAUGACGGUAGCGUCAGAAGAAGCCCCGGCUAACUUCGUG
rnacentral:rRNA from 1 species